CACUAUAGAGGUUAUAAUCAGGGCAUUGUUCAGAGUAUUUCAAGCAAAAGGCAAAGCAAGAGUCGACGGUGGCGGAAUUGGAGGGGUUAGAAGGUGUUUGAGAUCCUUCCGACCUCCGAAAAACAGCAAUUAUCGAAUGGGCAAAGUCGGAACUCGGAUGGUAAUGUUCUUUUCAACAGCACCUGUAAACAGACCCUUGGACGGAUAAGACGUGCGUCGACAUAAAUGCAAUUACCGAAUGGGCAAAGUCGGAUGGUAAAGUUCUUUUCAACGGCAGCCCUAAACAGACCCUUGGACGGAUAAGACUUGCGUCGACAUAAGUGUAUUGUUUCUCGAUGAAU